CGCAGCAGUCUGGAGCGGUGCUGAUGCUCAGGGUACCCUUGCCAGGUGGCCGGCAGACAAUGGUGCUCUUCUGCGGGAAGCUCCUGCUGGAGCCCGUGUCCUCUGCAGCCCGAGGCUGCGGCAGCUGGGGCGGCUUUCAGCAGUUUUGGAGGUCGGAGGACUCCCCCAGCAAACUGAUUAUGAUACAGCCUAGCUCAUGCUCUAUUUCUUUGCACAUGUAGAUGUACCAUUAAUGAAAUGGAGCUGCUCCCCAGCAGCCAUGGAGGAGCAUGUUCUCAGCUCUACAAAGCCCAUCUAUGUUCUCCCAUCUCUCUGGCACAGUGAGGGGGUUGUCAGCUGUACAGCAACUGUUUGUUUUCAAGCACAAUCUCAUUGGAAACCAAUAAAAAUCAUUCUGAUUCA